CAACACGGGGAAACUCACCAGGUCCAGACACAAUGAGGAUUGACAGAUUGAGAGCUCUUUCUUGAUUUUGUGGGUGGUGGUGCAUGCCCGUUUUUAGUUGGUGGAGUGAUUGUUCUGCUUAAUUGCGAUAACGAACGAGCCCUUACCCUGCUAAUUAGCCCGUAUUGCUUUGCCAGUACGCUGGCUUUUUAGAGGGACAAUCGGCUCAAGCCGAUGGAAGUUUGAGCCAAUAACAGGUCUGUGAUGCCCUAAGAUGUUUUGGGCCGCACGCGCGCUACACUGACGGAGCCAGCGAGUACUCCCUUGGCCGAAAGGCCUGGGUAAUCUUGUUAAACUCCGUCGUGCUGGGGAUAGGGCAUUGCAAUUAUUGCCCUUCAACGAGGAAUCCCUAGUAAGCGCAAGUCAUCAGCUUGCGUUGAUUACGUCCCUGCCCUUUGUACACACCGCCCGUCGCUACUACCGAUCUGAAUGGCUCAGUGAGGCGUCCGGACUGGCCCCGA
rnacentral:rRNA from 1 species